rnacentral:rRNA from 1 species
GUCCAUGGCUAUACCACCCUGAACAUGCCUGAUCUCAUGUGAUCUCAAAAGCUAAGCAGGGUCGGGCCUGGUUAGUACUUGGAUGGGAGAAUUAUGUUAAUGUUACUAUAAAUU